rnacentral:tRNA from 2 species
UCCCCUGUGGCUUAGUUGGCUAAAGCGCCCGACUGUUAAUCGGGAGAUCGGAAGUUCCAGCCUUCCCGGGGGAG